rnacentral:lncRNA from 1 species
UAAACUAAACUAAUUAACCAAGCACCCAUCAAUAAUCAUCUAUCCAUCCACCGCCUCAGCUUGGUGUGUCUCUGACGGCGGAUGUCGAUCAAUUUUCAUUUUUGUUGUGGAUCAUAUAGAAUAAUCAUGUACGUACUCCUGUGCUAAUAAUAGUGCAAGCUAUAUAUCUAGGUCCUAAUGAAGGGAGGAGGAGAACAAGAGAAGCAGAUCUAGGCUCCAUCUUCCCCUCUUGUGUGCUCAUCAAAAUAUCUAGUGUUGGAAUAGUUGGUCUUGAAGUUAAGC